rnacentral:rRNA from 1 species
CUACGGGACGCUGCAGUGGGGAAUAUUGGACAAUGGGGGAAACCCUGAUCCAGCAAUGCCGCGUGUGUGAAGAAGGCCUGCGGGUUGUAAAGCACUUUCGGUUGGGAGGACUGCUUCUAGCACUAAUAUUGUUGGAAGUUGACGUUACCUUCAGAAGAAGCACCGGCUAACUCCGUGCCAGCAGCCGCGGUAAUACGGAGGGUGCAAGCGGUAAUCGGAAUUACUGUGCGUAAAGCGCGCGUAGGCGGCUAGAUCAGUCGGGUGUGAAAGCCCCGGGCUUAACCUGGGAACUGCAUCCGAUACUGUCUAGCUUGAGUACAGGAGAGGAGAGUGGAAUUCCACAUGUAGCGGUGAAAUGCGUAGAUAUGUGGAGGAACACCAAUGGCGAAGGCAGCUCUCUGGCCUGAUACUGACGCUGAGGUGCGAAAGCGUGGGGAGCAAACAGGAUUAGAUACCCUUGUAGUC